CUCAACACACAAAAAUGAGACCACUGGGUAAAACGCUGUUAUGGCAGGUAAGAAACAAGGGCAAUAUAUUAUAUAUAUAAUAUGUGUUGUGCUUUUUCAUUGAUUUAAAAUAUUCUUGCAUUUGCAUAUAAUUAUUUAUUCUACAUAGUAUGUAUGUUCAUUAUUUAUUAAGCCUUAUUUAUAAAGUCAAUUAACCACAACAAGAGGUCUUAAAUUAGAGGGACAAAGGUUUAAAAAUAAUAUCAGGAAGUAUUACUUUACUGAGAGGGUAGUGGAUGCAUGGAAUAGCCUUCCAGCUUAAGUGGUAGAGGUUAACACAGUAAAGGAGUUUAAGCAUGCGUGGGAUAGGCAUAAGGCUAUCCUAACUAUAAGAUAAGGCCAGGGACUAAUGAAAGUAUUUAGAAAAUUGGGCAGACUAGAUGGGCCGAAUGGUUCUUAUCUGCCGUCACAUUCUAUGUUUCUAUGUUUCUAUGGAAGAUUUAUUGGGGUGGACAUAUAAUAACUAUAUCCCAUCAACACAACAAAUAUAUUAAACAGCAUACUUUUAUGGAUUUACAUACUACGGGAAAUGGGUAAAUAGAUAAUUUUAUGCAUGACAUUUAAUCAUGUGUGUGCUUUAUUUAAAAAAAAAACAAAAAAACAGAAUUGCAGUGAAUUAAAAACUGCAAGAAUUGGAAACAAAUUUGGAAGAACUCAACUAUAGGCACAACGUUGCUAUUUUAGAUCUUUACAUUUCCAACUCAGGUUUCAGCAUUGCCUCUAGUGAAUAAACCACUUUAUGAUGAGGUUAGGAUUUGUAGAAGACGCAGUUAGCUCUCCCCUUUUAUAAAUAAGCAACAUUUUCACUCCCACUCAGCCCUAACUUUGGACCUUUCUACCCAACACCUUGACCUCUUCCCCUAGUUCCCGCUUUAUAUUGUCUGAUUUUACCCAAUUCUCUCUCUUUUGUUAAGAGUAAUAAUUAAUAGAUGAAUAAUGACUAAUCUGUGUAAAUGUCUCUGGAUAAAUGUAUUGUACAAGUAAUGCUACAAAAAAUAUAAUAGAUUUCUAUUUUGGGUCACGGGAAUGUUUUGCACUCAAAUGUAUAUCGUGGCAUUCCUGAUGCAAUAGUAAUAUGUAGGAGUUUCCAUCGAUGGCUCACUGUCGCAGUCGUCUUAGAUGUCUAUCAUAGUGAGCACCUGUGAAGAAAGCACUAAGAUCUUUUAAAAAUUGUUUCCUAAGGUCCUGCCUCUCCUGACUCUUAUAUUGAUCACCCACGUGACGCAAGCAGCUAAAAAUUCAACGUCCUCAAAGAAGGCAAGGUGUCAAAAACAGAAGACAGACUGUAAAGACUGCAUCCUUGUAAAGUUACCAAAUAAGUCCAGUGACGGAACAUCUUACCAAAACAGUAUAGCAAACCUGGAGAACCGAUCCAUUGUUCCAUGGACAAUAGUGUAAGUUUCUGUAAUUAGCUCCUCCAUAUCUGUGACAUUUAACUUAUGACCCCUGCAUACACAUCAGACUACCAGUACCAGAUUAUUAGAAUAAAAGGGCCAUAUAGUCAUCCUGUCCUGUCUGUAACUGGCUUUCACAUUUAUUUAUUUUUUUUGGUCUCUCUAUUUGUUUUAUAUUUUCACUGUCUAUAAACCUCUUUGUACUGUAUUAUUUAAAUGUUAUUAUUUAUACAGUGCCAGCAAAUAUUGCAGCGCCUCUUCUUCUUUGCACCUUUACCAAUGUAAUUUCACCACUGUACAAACAUAGCACAGUAGGGUAGUGAAGCUCUCUGCCUGCAGACAAGAUAGGGGUCCACCUGUCAUACAAUCACCCACAGUGGGCUAAAGACCCUUCUUACCUUCUUAAAUGUGGUAUUGUGCACACAAACUGGGCUCAGUGUAGAAUAGGCCAGGCCUCUAAAGAUCAGAAUUUAGAAUGCAGUUUGUUGUGUAAAAGAAGCAUUUGAAAUACUUGGGAUUUAGGCAGAUGCUCCAUUCGACACCACAGUAAAACUAUCUGGUUCAAUGUUUGUUUGUUUUUUUCAACCUCCCUGCUUCCUACUGACUUUGGGUCGCAGAAAUGUGAUCCAUGCAACUGCUUAUACCUAAGAUACCACACUUGUAAGACAAAUAUUGCUAUGAAACAUGACUAAUCAGCACUAUAUCUCUGCAGGUCAAAUUCUAAAGGGCAAACAA